AACGAACGCUGGCGGCGUGGAUAAGACAUGCAAGUCGAGCGAGAUUUUUUUCUGUAGCAAUACAGGGAAAAAUCUAGCGGCGAACGGGUGCUUAACACGUGGGCAAUCUGCCGAGAAGUGGGGGAUAGCUCGCCGAAAGGCGAAUUAAUACCGCAUGUGAUGAGAGUGGACAUCCAUUCAAAAUUAAAGUCGGGGCAACCUGACGCUUCUUGAAGAGCCCGCGGCCUAUCAGCUAGUUGGUGAGGUAACGGCCCACCAAGGCGAUGACGGGUAGCUGGUCUGAGAGGACAACCAGCCACACUGGGACUGAGACACGGCCCAGACACCUACGGGUGGCAGCAGUCGAGAAUUUUUCUCAAUGGGGGAAACCCUGAAGGAGCGACGCUGCGUGGAGGAUGAAGGUCUUCGGGUUGUAAACUCCUGUCAUUUGGGAACAAGUUGCGCGCGUUAACUGCGCGCGCAUUGAUAGUACCAGAAGAGGAAGAGACGGCUAACUCUGUGCCAGCAGCCGCCGUAAUAC
rnacentral:rRNA from 1 species